AAGCCCUUCGGGGUGUAAAGCUCUUUCGGCAGGGACGAUAGUGACGGUACCUGCAGAAGAAGCUGCGGCUAACUACGUGCCAGCAGCCGCGGUAAUACGUAGGCAGCGAGCGUUGUCCGGAAUUAUUGGGCGUAAAGCGCGCGCAGGUGGUUUCUUAAGUCUGAUGUGAAAGCCCACGGCUCAACCGUGGAGGGUCAUUGGAAACUGGGGAACUUGAGUGCAGAAGAGGAAAGUGGAAUUCCACGUGUAGCGGUGAAAUGCGUAGAUAUUGGGAGGAACACCAGUGGCGAAGGCGGCUCACUGGACCGGAACUGACGCUGAGGCGCGAAAGCGUGGGGAGCAAACGGGAUUAGAUACCCCGGUAGUCCACGCCGUAAACGAUGUCGACUAGAUCGCAGCGGCUCUGACGCCGUUGCGGUCGAAGCAAAAGUGCUAAGUCGACCGCCUGGGAAGUACGGUCGCAAGGCUAAAACUCAAAGGAAUUGACGGGGGCUCACACAAGCGGUGGAGCAUGUGGUUCAAUUCGAAGCAACGCGCAGAACCUUACCUGGGCUUGACAUGCUAGGAUUAUCCCCGUGAAAGCGGGGUAGGCCCUUCGGGGUACAACUAGUACAGGUGCUGCAUGGCUGUCGUCAGCUCGUGUCGUGAGAUGUCGGGUUAAGUCCCUUAACGAGCGAAACCUUUGCCCUUAGUUACCAGCGG
rnacentral:rRNA from 1 species